UACGGAGGAUCCGAGCGUUAUCCGGAUUUACUGGGUUUAAAGGGUGCGUAGGCGGGCCCCUCAGUCAGCGGUGAAAGUCUGCGGCUCAACCGUAGGAUUGCCGUUGAUACUGGGGGCCUUGGAUUCGGUCGGGGCGGGCGGAAUGCGUGGUGUAGCGGUGAAAUGCUUAGAUAUCACGCAGAACGCCGAUUGCGAAGGCAGCUCGCCGGGCCGAAAUCGACGCUGAGGCACGAAAGCGUGGGGAUCGAACAGGAUUAGAUACCCUGGUAGUCCACGCCGUAAACGAUGAUGGCUGGAUGUUGGCGAUACACCGUCAGCGUCUGAGGGAAACCAUUAAGCCAUCCACCUGGGGAGUACGGCCGCAAGGCUGAA
rnacentral:rRNA from 1 species